UUCCAGUUGACUCCACCACUCGUGACCAGGAAAGCAGCCGCCAGUAGAACUGGUCUCCAAACUAUUGGCACUGAGGAAAUGGUAAUCGAAAACCCUAAGGCCAAAGCAAUGCCAUCCUUUGCCUCUGUAAAGAAUAAACUUGAAGCUAGGCUGUCGAAAAAAGAACAG